AGAGUUUGAUUAUGGCUCAGAACGAACGCUGGCGGCAUGCCUCAUACAUGCAAGUCGAACGAAGUCUUCGGACUUAGUGGCGCACGGGUGAGUAACAUGUGGGAAUCUACCUGAAGGUUCGGAAUAACUAUGGGAAACUGUAGCUAAUACCGGAUGUGUCUGCAAAGAGAAAGAUUUAUCGCCUUCAGAUGAGCCCGCACUAGAUUAGCUAGUUGGUGAGGUAAAUGCUCCACCAAGGCUACGAUCUAUAGCUGAUUUGAGAGGAUGAUCAGCCACACUGGGACUGAGACACGGCCCAGACUCUACGGGAGGCAGCAGUAGGGAAUAUUGGACAAUGGGGGAAACCCUGAUCCAGCAAUGCCGCGUGAGUGAAGAAGGCCCUCGGGUUGUAAAACUCUUUCAUCAAUGAUGAUAAUGACAUUAGUUGAAGAAGAAGCUCCGGCUAACUUCGUGCCAGCAGCCGCGGUAAUACGAAGGGGGCUAGCGUUGUUCGGAAUCACUGGGCGUAAAGCGUAUGUAGGCGGAUCAAAAAGUUAGAUGUGAAAUCCCUGGGCUCAACCCAGGAACUGCAUUUAAAACUAGUGAUCUAGAAAUUGGUAAAGGUUAGUAGAAUUUCCAGUGUAGAGGUGAAAUUCGUAGAUAUUGGAAAGAAUACCAGAAGCGAAGGCGACUAACUAGGCCAUUUUUGACGCUGAGAUACGAAAGCGUGGGUAGCAAACAGGAUUAGAUACCCUGGUAGUCCACGCAGUAAACGAUGAGUGCUAGUCGCUGGGACAAUAGUUUCAGUGUCGAAGCUAACGCAUUAAGCACUCCGCCUGGGAAGUACGGUCGCAAGAUUAAAACUCAAAUAAAUUGACGGGGGCCCGCACAAGCGGUGGAGCAUGUGGUUUAAUUCGAAGCAACGCGAAGAACCUUACCAGACCUUGACAUGGUAUGUUUGAAUUACAGAAUCGUAAUUCUUCAGUUCGGCUGGCAUACACACAGGUGCUGCAUGGCUGUCGUCAGCUCGUGUCGUGAGAUGUUGGGUUAAGUCCCGCAACGAGCGCAACCCUCAUUUUUAGUUGCCAUCAGGUUAUGCUGGGCACUCUAGAAAAACUGCCGGUGAUAAGCUGGAGGAAGGCGGGGAUGACGUCAAGUCCUCAUGGCCCUUACGGUCUGGGCUACACACGUGCUACAAUGGUGGUGAC
rnacentral:rRNA from 1 species